rnacentral:misc_RNA from 1 species
AAAAAAAUAUAAUAAGAACUUGUGAGAACCUUUACAAAUCGAUUUUGAUACAUGAGAAAUAUGCAUGAUCUAGUCAGAAAAAUGAUAUAUUCAAAAUAAAGGAAAAAAAAUAUGGGUAAUAGUUGUGUUUGAUUCAGGUUCAAUAUAGUUCUAUUUGGGAACUGAAUUGAAAUCAAGCAUUCAGUACUUUAGUUUUUACACAUUAAAUUUGGAGCCAAAUUUUGAUUCCAGCUCUAAUUCGGUUUUAAGCAAAUUCGAUAUAGUUUCAACUUAAUUCCAGUUCUAUUUCAAUUUCAAUUUUGAUUUUAAUUUCAGCUCAAAUUUAAAUUUUUACACCUAAAAGUAUAAUAUUCUUGUGUUCAUUUUA